rnacentral:rRNA from 1 species
GACGAACGCUGGCGGCGUGCUUAACACAUGCAAGUCGAACGAAGUGGCGAACGGGUGAGUAACGCGUAAUCAACCUGCCCUUCAGAGGGGGACAACAGCUGGAAACGACUGCUAAUACCGCAUACUGAAGGUGGGGAUUGAGUCUGAUUAGCUAGUUGGAGGGGUAACGGCCCACCAAGGCGAUGAUAAGUAGCCGGUCUGAGAGGAUGAACGGCAACAUGGGGACUGGGACACGGCCCAGACCCCUACGGGAGGCAACAGUGGGGAAUCUUCCGAAAUGGACGAAAGUCUGACGGAGCAACGCCGCGUGAGUGAUGACGGCCUUCGGGUUGUAAAGCUCUGUUAAUCGGGACGCGGUACCGGAAUAGAAAGCCACGGCUAACUACGUGCCAGCCGCCGCGGUAAUAC